AGAGUUUGAUCCUGGCUCAGGACGAACGCUGGCGGCGUGCUUAACACAUGCAAGUCGAACGGUAAGGCCCCUUCGGGGGUACGCGAGUGGCGAACGGAUGAGUAACACGUGAGCAACCUGCCCUUGACACUGGAAUAACAGUUGGAAACAGCUGCUAAUGCCAGAUAUGACCUUCGGUGGCAUCACCCGAAGGUGGAAAGUGCUUAGCGGUCAAGGAUGGGCUCGCGGCCUAUCAGCUUGUUGGUGAGGUAACGGCUCACCAAGGCUUCGACGGGUAGCCGGCCUGAGAGGGCGACCGGCCACACUGGGACUGAGAUACGGCCCAGACUCCUACGGGAGGCAGCAGUGGGGAAUAUUGCACAAUGGGCGCAAGCCUGAUGCAGCAACGCCGCGUGCGGGAUGACGGCCUUCGGGUUGUAAACCGCUUUCAGUUCCGACGAAGCGCAAGUGACGGUAGGAACAGAAGAAGGACCGGCCAACUACGUGCCAGCAGCCGCGGUAAU
rnacentral:rRNA from 1 species